UCAGGUAUUGAAAAGAGUACUGUCAGAGAAUGAGGGAGAAGAAAACAAAGUAGACGAAGACAUACCAAAUAAGGUAUUGAAAAGAGUACUGUCAGAGAAUGAGGGAGAAGAAAACAAAGUAGAUGAAGACUUACCAAGUAAGGUAUUGAAAAGAGUACUGUCAGAGAAUGAGGGAGAAGAAAACAAAGUAGACGAAGACAUACCAAAUAAGGUA
rnacentral:lncRNA from 1 species